rnacentral:rRNA from 1 species
UACGUAGGGGGCAAGCGUUGUCCGGAUUUAUUGGGCGUAAAGAGCUCGUAGGUGGUUCGGUAAGUCGGAUGUGAAAUCUCCAGGCUCAACCUGGAGGGGUCAUUCGAUACUGCCGUACUAGAGGUCGGUAGGGGGAGUGUGGAAUUCCUGGUGGAGCGGUGAAAUGCGUAGAUAUCGGGAGGAACACCUAUGGCGAAAAGCAGGUACCUGGGCCAUACUACGUGAGCUGCGAAAAGCUAGGGGGAGCAAACAGG